AUGGAAGCCACCGCCGCCUGCUCGGCCUCCCUCGCCUCCUCGCCGCUCCCCCACCGCCGCAGCCGCGUGCGCGUGGUCGUCGCGGCGGCCCGACGGAAGGGGCCGUCGGGCGCGGUGGCCGCGGCGGCCUCCACGGGCAACUACGUGGUGCCGCUGGACGCCGCGCCGUCGGGGAUCACGCGGCCGCUCGUCGAGAUCCUGCGCGACCUCAACAAGCGCGUCCCGGAGACCAUCGUCCUCCCCGCCUCCCGCCGCGCCUCCGCCUCCGACCCCGUCAUCCCAUGGUACCAUGCCAACCGGAUGCUCAGCUUCUACGCCCCCGGCUGGUGUGGAGAGGUCCGUGAUGUUAUUUACAAUGACAAUGGAAAGGUGACCGUGGUGUAUCGUGUCACAAUACGAGGAAUAGAUGGAGAGGUUCAUCGGGAGGCUGCUGGAACAGCAUCACUGAGCGACGCACGGCUCGACGACCCCGUGGCGGCCGCGGAAGAGGCGGCGUUCUGCAAGGCCUGCGCGAGGUUCGGCUUCGGGCUGUACCUGUACCACGAAGACGAGGUGCUGUGA
rnacentral:rRNA from 1 species